AUCGCUUCUUGGCCUUUUGGCUAAGAUCAAGUGUAGUAUCUGUUCUUAUCAGACUCACGGGCAGAAAAGUUUUCAAGUCACUCUACUAAUGCACUCUCAUCUUGGGGCCCAACUCUGUGUGUGUGAUUUUUACCAAACUCUGCUGUCUGGUUUCAAAGUUUCCCAUGUGCUUUGGUUCUGGCUAAUUUUG